AGUGGACGCUGGCGGUAGGCCUAACACAUGCAAGUCGAACGGCAGCACAGUAAGAGCUUGCUCUUACGGGUGGCGAGUGGCGGACGGGUGAGGAAUACAUCGGAAUCUACUUUUUCGUGGGGGAUAACGUAGGGAAACUUACGCUAAUACCGCAUACGACCUACGGGUGAAAGCAGGGGAUCUUCGGACCUUGCGCGAUUGAAUGAGCCGAUGUCGGAUUAGCUAGUUGGCGGGGUAAAGGCCCACCAAGGCGACGAUCCGUAGCUGGUCUGAGAGGAUGAUCAGCCACACUGGAACUGAGACACGGUCCAGACUCCUACGGGAGGCAGCAGUGGGGAAUAUUGGACAAUGGGCGCAAGCCUGAUCCAGCCAUACCGCGUGGGUGAAGAAGGCCUUCGGGUUGUAAAGCCCUUUUGUUGGGAAAGAAAAGCAGCAGGUUAAUACCCCGCUGUUCUGACGGUACCCAAAGAAUAAGCACCGGCUAACUUC
rnacentral:rRNA from 1 species